rnacentral:tRNA from 1 species
GAGGCUAUAGUAUAAAAUUAAUACUUCUUGCUUACACCAAGGAAAUCUCCAGCCUGUGGAGUAGCUUCU